AGUUUGCCACUAAGUCAUGGCCUUUCAGUCUUCCCAGUGUUACCACAUUAUUAUUCUUUACUGAACCAACCUUGCUGUUGGUUUUGUUCCUGAAUCAACCCAGUUCCACAUACACUUAGUGCACACUGUUCAAGGCACUGUGCUAGGUGCCCCGUUACUGGUGAUCAUUACUGUGAUGGAAAAAUUUUCUGAAAAAGAAAAAAGGUGUAUCACUGAAAAUUGAAAAACAUGACCUGUAUUAAAAUGAGGUAAAAAUAAAAAGAUUUGGGUUUGGCUGGGCACGGUGGCUCACACCUGUAAUCCCAGCACUUUGGGAGGCCAAGGCAGAUCAGGGGGUCAGGAGUUCAAGACCAGCCUGACCAACAUUUGUUGGUCGUCUAAAAAUACAAAAAUUAGCUGGGUGAGGUGGUGUGCCCUGUAAUCCCAGGUACUCCAGAGGCUUAGGCAGGAGAAUCGCUUGAACCCAGGAGGUGGGGGUUGCAGUGAGCCAAGAUCAGGCCACUGCACUUUAGCUUGAGCAACAGAGUGAGACUUUUGGUCAAAACAAACAAAAAACAGCCAGCCAUGGUGGCUUUUUUUUUUUUUGGGAGACAGAGUCUCACUCUGUUGUUGCUCAAGCUGGAGUCCAGUGGUGCAGUCUCAGCUCAUUGCAACCUCCAUCUGCCAGUUUCAAGCAAUACUGCCUCAGCCUCCUGAGUACCUGGAGGACAGGCACACACCAUCACGCCUGGCUAAUUUUUCUAUUUUUAGUAGAGACAGGGUUGCACCACAUUGGCCAGCCUGUUCUCAAACUCCUGUCCUCAUGGUCCACCCACCUCAGCAUCCCAAAGUGCUGGGACUACAGGCAUUAGCCACCGCACCCGGUCAGUAUUUUUUUUUAUGUACAGACAGGGUCCUACCAGAUAGCCCAGGCUAUUUGAGAGUCUAAGGUGGGAGUCAUAAGUCUUAUGAAGAAAUUAAGAGAAAAUGGUAUUUAUAAAUAUUUGGAGGCAGUUAUUUUGAGGCUAUGUAAGCACACUGUUUCCUCUUUAGAUUUCACCCACAAUUUCUGCAUUCCUCAAUACAUCUUGUCUACAGUAAUUAUUACUGCGGUGUCUAGUGGUGAUUUUCUCUAUUGCAUGUCUGUCUACAUUGAUUAGUACUUGGAAUUCUAUAAAGAUUUUUUCUCUUUCCUCUUCUGUUUUCUUAUUGAAUUUUUUAUAUAUCUGCAUGAAUUUGUGGAUAUUUCCUAUAUUGUCUGAGUUAUAAUGCAAGGCUAUGAUUAUUUAUUUUGCUUCUCACAUUGUUCCAGCUUGGACUGCUGGAAAGUCUUCCAGGUUGGCUUCAUGUGACAUGUCUUCUUCUGUUGUUCAUAAAGUACUUUUUAACUGUCUGUUUUCACAAGAUACUCUGCCUUAACUUGGAUUUUCCACUCCAGUACUAGAAUUAUCUAUUUUUGUUAUUUUUUUAUUAUUAUUAUUUUUUGAGACAGAGUUUCACUGUUGUUACCCAGACUGGAGUGCAAUGGCACGAUCUCGGCUCAUCGCAACCUCUGCCUCCUGGGUUUAGGCAAUUCUCCUGCCUCAGCCUCCCGAGUAGCUGGGACUACAGGUGCACACCACCAUGCCCAGCUACUUUUUGUAUUUUUAGUAGAGAUGGGGUUUCACCUUGUUGACCAGGAUGGCCUCGAUCUCUUGACCUCGUGAUCCACCCACCUCGGCCUCCCAAAGUGCUGGAAUUAUAGGCAUGAGCCACCGCACCCAGCCUAUUUUUGUUAUUUUUUUUCUUAUAAGAGAUGGAAUUUCACCAUCUUGGUCAGGUUGGUCUUGAACUCCUGACCUUGUGAUCCACCCACUUUGGCCUCCCAAAGUGUUGGGAUUACAGGUAUGAGCUACUGCACCUGGCCUAGAAUUAUCUAUUUUUACUAUAGUGUUUUUCCUCUCAUUGAGGAAUAGUAUUUAGCAACCAUAAUAUGAGAGCUAGGUGGGCUCAUUAAUACUGGGGUGUUGCGGCUGCUGUGGCAGCAAGGCCCGCCUGUUCUGAAGAUCUCUGCACUGGCCUUUACGAGCCUCCUGCCUGGGCCAGGCCCUGUGGCUCUGCCAUGGCAGCAGCAUGGGUGGCACCUGGGGCACAGGCUGGGUCGAGACAGGCCUGCUCCUCAGCACGGAUGCAUGCUACUGCAUUUACAGGCUGACACGCAGUCAGCGGCAGGGCAGCCGUGGGCUCAGUCUGCGCUCCUCACAGUCCACAGAAGACUUAACUGAUGGUUCAUAUGAUGAUGUUCUGAAUGCCGAAUAACUUCAGAAACUCCUUUACCUGCUUGAGUCAACUGAGGAUCCUAUAAUUAUUGAAAAAGCUUUGAUUACUUUGGGUAACAAUGCAGCCUUUUCAGUGAACCAAGCUAUUAUUCAUGAAUUGGAGGGUAUUCCAAUUGCUGGAAACAAAAUCAACCAUUCCAACCAGAGUAUUAAAGAGAAGGCUUUAAAUGCACUUAACAACGGGAGUGUGAAUGUUGAAAAUCAAAUCAAGAUAAGGAUAUACAUCAGCCAAGUCUGUGAGGAUGUCUUCUCUGGUCCUCUGAACUCUGCUGUGCAGCUGGCCAGACUGAGAUUGUUGACAAACAUGACUGUUACCAAUGACCACCAGCACAUGCUUCACAGUUAUAUUACAGACCGGUCCCAGGUGUUACUUACUGGAAGUGGAAACACGAAAGUCCAAGUUUUGAAACUGCUUUUGAAUUUGUCUGAAAAUCCAGCCAUGACAGACGGACUUCUCUGUGCCCAAGUGGAUACGUCAUUCUUUUUCCUUUAUGGCAGCCAUGUAGCAAAGGAGAUUCUUCUUCAAGUACUUACACUAUUUCAGAAUAUGAAUAACUGCCUCAAAAUAGAAGGCCAUUUAGCUGUGCAGCCACUUUCACUGAAGGUUCAUUGUUUUUCCUGUUAUAUGGAGAAGAAUGUGCCCAGAAAGUAAGAGCUUUAUUUCAUCAUGAUGAUGCAGAGGUGAAGGAAAAGGUUGUAACAAUAAUGCCCAAAAUCUAAUCAGUCAUAUUUUUCCAAAGAGUAAUGCAGUCUGGAUAUAAACGUAUUUUCUAUCUUCCUUAUAAGGAGAUUCUUCCAGCUGCUGAAUUUAAACAGUAACUAUCACAUUUCAUCAUUAA